rnacentral:rRNA from 1 species
CCUACGGGGGGCAGCAGUCGAGAAUCUUCGGCAAUGGGCGCAAGCCUGACCGAGCGACGCCGCGUGCGGGAUGAAGGCCUUCGGGUUGUAAACCGCUGUCGUAGUGGAGGAAAUAUCAGGGGGUUCUCCCCUUGGUUUGACUGAUACUAGGAGGAAGGGUGGGCUAAGCUCGUGCCAGCAGCCGCGGUAAGACGAGCCACCCAAACGUUAUUCGGAAUCACUGGCGUUAAAGCGUGCGUAAGUGGGGUGCGAAAUCCCUCGGCCUAACCGAGGAAUUGCGCCCAAAACUAGUGGGCUGGAGGGAGAUAGAGGUGAGCGGAACUGAUGGUGGAGCGGUGAAAUGUGUUGAUAUCAUCAGGAACACCGGUGGCGAAAGCGGCUCACUGGGUCUCUUCUGACGCUGAGGCACGAAAGCUAGGGUAGCGAACGGGAUUAGAUACCCGAGUAGUC